CCUACGGGUGGCAGCAGUGGGGAAUAUUGCACAAUGGGCGCAAGCCUGAUGCAGCCAUGCCGCGUGUGUGAAGAAGGCCUUCGGGUUGUAAAGCACUUUCAGCGGGGAGGAAGGCGUUAAGGUUAAUAACCUUGUCGAUUGACGUUACCCGCAGAAGAAGCACCGGCUAACUCCGUGCCAGCAGCCGCGGUAAUACGGAGGGUGCAAGCGUUAAUCGGAAUUACUGGGCGUAAAGCGCACGCAGGCGGUCUGUCAAGUCGGAUGUGAAAUCCCCGGGCUCAACCUGGGAACUACAUUCGAAACUGGCAGGCUAGAGUCUUGUAGAGGGGGGUAGAAUUCCAGGUGUAGCGGUGAAAUGCGUAGAGAUCUGGAGGAAUACCGGUGGCGAAGGCGGCCCCCUGGACAAAGAUUGACGCUCAGGUGCGAAAGCGUGGGGAGCAAACAGGAUUAGAUACCCGGGUAGUC
rnacentral:rRNA from 1 species